rnacentral:rRNA from 1 species
UACGAAGGGUGCAAGCGUUGCUCGGAAUUAUUGGGCGUAAAGGGUAGGUAGGUGGUUACGUAUGUCUGAGGUGAAAUCCCUAAGCUUAACUUAGGACGUGCCUUGGAAACGGCGUAACUAGAGUGCUGGAGAGGUUCGUAGAAUUCCCGGUGUAGCGGUGAAAUGCGUAGAGAUCGGGAGGAAUACCAGAGGCGAAGGCGGCGAACUGGACAGCAACUGACACUAAACUACGAAAGCGUGGGGAGCAAACAGG